UAGGGAAUCUUCCGCAAUGGGCGAAAGCCUGACGGAGCAACGCCGCGUGAGUGAUGAAGGUCUUCGGAUCGUAAAACUCUGUUAUUAGGGAAGAACAAAUGUGUAAGUAACUAUGCACGUCUUGACGGUACCUAAUCAGAAAGCCACGGCUAACUACGUGCCAGCAGCCGCGGUAAUACGUAGGUGGCAAGCGUUAUCCGGAAUUAUUGGGCGUAAAGCGCGCGUAGGCGGUUUUUUAAGUCUGAUGUGAAAGCCCACGGCUCAACCGUGGAGGGUAAUUGGAAGCUGGAAAACUUGAGUGCAGAAGAGGAAAGUGGAAUUCCAUGUGUAGCAGUGAAAUGCGCAGAGAUAUGGAGGAACACCAGUGGCGAAGGCGACUUUCUGGUCUGUAACUGACGCUGAUGUGCGAAAGCGUGGGGAUCAAACAGG
rnacentral:rRNA from 1 species